GCCCCGGUAGCUCAGUUGGAUAGAGCAUUGGUCUUCUAAACCAAGGGUCGCAGGUUCGAAUCCUGCCCGGGGUG
rnacentral:tRNA from 1 species